rnacentral:rRNA from 1 species
CCUACGGGGGGCAGCAGUAGGGAAUCUUCCACAAUGGACGAAAGUCUGAUGGAGCAACGCCGCGUGAGUGAAGAAGGGUUUCGGCUCGUAACGCUCUGUUGGUAGUGAAGAAAGAUAGAGGUAGUAACUGGCCUGUAUUUGACGUUAAUUACUUCGAAAGUCACGGCUAACUACGUGCCAGCAGCCGCGGUAAUGCGUAGGUGGCAAGCGUUGUCCGGAUUUAUUGGGCGUAAAGCGAGUGCAGGCGGUUCAAUAAGUCUGAGGUGAAAGCCUGCGGCUCAACCGGAGAAUUGCAUCAGAAACUGUUGAACUGGAGUGCAGAAGAGGAGAGUGGAACUCCAUGUGUAGCGGUGGAAGGCGUAGAUAUAUGGAAGAACACCAGUGGCGAAGGCGGCUCUCUGGUCUGCAACUGACGCUGAGGCUCGAAAGCAUGGGUAGCGAACAGGAGUAGAUACCCUGUAGUC